rnacentral:snoRNA from 1 species
GGGUGGGCCGUGACGAUUAAAAAAGCAUAGUUCAUCUGACUUUUUUCAGUGAAGAACUAGCUCACAAGCAAAUGUCUUUCGCUCCUAUCCGAGCCCCGAU